rnacentral:lncRNA from 1 species
GGCCAUUAUUCAUUACAAAGGCCACCAAAAAAGAGACAGCUUCGAGGCCCACGCAGUCAAAGAGGCCCUGGGGCCAAACCCCAGUGUCACUCCCAGAACUGCAGGGUAUUUGGCCAGGGCUGAAGCAGCGGUUCCGUCACAGCACCCCGAAUGGGACCCCAAUGAUGAUGACGACAUACAGAUUCUUCAGAGUGAGAUCCAGGCUACAAUACAACAGGCUCGAGAAAAACCCUUUGCGACGUUCCAGCCCCACGGUUUCAAGCCAGGAGACCUGGUCCUGAUAUGCUUGGUUUGCUUGCACCAAGGACUUGACUAAAUACGUUCCCAAAUCAGUCUUGGCUGCCCAAUCUGCCACUUUAUUUUGUGUCACCGUGUAUGUUCUUCCACAAGC